rnacentral:rRNA from 1 species
AGUGAACGCUGGCGGUAGGCCUAACACAUGCAAGUCGAACGGCAGCACAGAGGAGCUUGCUCCUUCGGUGGCGAGUUGCGGACGGGUGAGGAAUACAUGGGAAUCUACUCUGUCGUGGGGGAGAACGUAGGGAAACUUACGCUAAUACCGCAUACGACCUACGGGUGAACGCAGGGGAUCUUCGGAUCUUGCGCGAUUGAAUGAGCCGAUGUCGGAUUAGCUAGUUGGUGGGGUAAAGGCCCACCAAGGAGACGAUCCGUAGCUGGUCUGAGAGGAUGAUCAGCCACACUGGAACUGGGACACGGUCCAGACACCUACGGGAGGCAGCAGUGGGGAAUAUUGGACAAUGGGCGCAAGCCUGAUCCAGCCAUACCGCGUGGGUGAAGAAGGCCUUCGGGUUGUAAAGCCCUUUUGUUGGGAAAGAAAUCCAGCUGGCUAAUACCCGGUUGGGAUGACGGUACCCAAAGAAUAAGCACCGGCUAACUUCGUGCCAGCAGCCGCCGCCGUAA